rnacentral:rRNA from 1 species
GAUGAACGCUGGCGGCGUGCCUAAUACAUGCAAGUCGAGCGAACAGACGAGGAGCUUGCUCCUCUGACGUUAGCGGCGGACGGGUGAGUAACACGUGGAUAACCUACCUAUAAGACUGGGAUAACUUCGGGAAACCGGAGCUAAUACCGGAUAAUAUAUUGAACCGCAUGGUUCAAUAGUGAAAGACGGUUUUGCUGUCACUUAUAGAUGGAUCCGCGCCGCAUUAGCUAGUUGGUAAGGUAACGGCUUACCAAGGCGACGAUGCGUAGCCGACCUGAGAGGGUGAUCGGCGACACUGGAACGGAGACACGGUCCAGACUCCUACGGGAGGCAGCAGUAGGGAAUCUUCCGCAAUGGGCGAAAGCCUGACGGAGCAACGCCGCGUGAGUGAUGAAGGUCUUCGGAUCGUAAAACUCUGUUAUUAGGGAAGAACAAAUGUGUAAGUAACUAUGCACGUCUUGACGGUACCUAAUCAGAAAGCCACGGCUAACUACGUG